UAAUACGAGAGGCCCAAACGUUAUUCGGAUUUACUGGGCUUAAAGAGUUCGUAGGCGGCGCGGAAAGUAGGGUGUGAAAGCCCUCGGCUUAACCGAGGAAUUGCGCCCUAAACUGUCGCGCUCGAGGAACCUAGAGGUGAGCAGAACUGAUGGUGGAGCGGUGAAAUGCGUUGAUAUCAUCAGGAAUACCGGAGGCGAAGGCGGCUCACUGGGGGUUAUCUGACGCUGAGGAACGAAAGCCAGGGGAGCAAACGGG
rnacentral:rRNA from 1 species